UACAGAGGUCUCAAGCGUUGUUCGGAUUCAUUGGGCGUAAAGGGCGCGUAGGCGGCGGGGUAAGUCGGGUGUGAAAUCUCAGAGCUCAACUCUGAAAUGGCACUUGAUACUGCUCUGCUAGAGGACUGGAGAGGAGAUUGGAAUUCCUGGUGUAGCGGUGAAAUGCGCAGAUAUCAGGAAGAACACCCGUGGCGAAGGCGGCUCUCUGGGACGGUACUGACGCUGAGACGCGAAAGCGUGGGGAGCGAACAGG
rnacentral:rRNA from 1 species